rnacentral:rRNA from 1 species
AACGAACGCUGGCGGUGCGUCUUAAGCAUGCAAGUCGAACGGCAAGAAAGUGCUUGCACUUUCCUAGAGUGGCGGACUGGUGAGUAACGCGUGGGUGAUCUACCUUUAAGAUGGGGAUAGCUUUUAGAAAUAAGAGAUAAUACCGAAUGUGCUUGCGAUGCUUUGGCGUUGCAAGGAAAGGAGCGUUUGCUCGCUUAAAGAUGAGCCUGCGUCCCAUUAGCUAGUUGGUGAGGUAAUGGCCCACCAAGGCGAUGAUGGGUAUCCGACCUGAGAGGGUGAUCGGACACAUUGGGACUGAGAUACGGCCCAAACUCCUACGGGAUGCAGCAGCUGAGAAUCUUCCGCAAUGGACGAAAGUCUGACGGAGCGACACCGCGUGAAUGAUGAAGGCCGAAAGGUUGUAAAAUUCUUUUGCAGACAAAGAAUAAGUGUAGGAGGAAAUGCCUACAUGAUGACGGUAGUUAUGCGAAUAAGCCCCGGCUAAUUACGUGC